rnacentral:lncRNA from 1 species
AAGUGUACAUUAAAUAACAGACCAACAGCAAUCUAAAUUAGGUUACCAAGAACGUCGACAUUUGCCUAAAAACCUAAAUAAUGACCGGUAAAGAGACCAAAUUUCAUGAACUCGAUUAAGACACCUGAACUUGCUAAGUACCUCGGAAGGAAAAUGGAUUCUCUUCCACACAUUUAACUAAGAAUAAGAUAUUGACAUUUGAAACAAAAAAAAUAACAAAAUAUUGAACAUUUAGUAACUGGAUUAUCUUACAAAUGGAUGUACUUUAAAGUCUCAUGGUGAAAGUGUACAUUAAAUAACAGACCAACAGCAAUCUAAAUUAGAUUACCAAGAACCUCGACAUUUGCCUAAAACCCUAAAUAAUGACAGGUAAACAGAGGUGCAAUACAGCUUAUCAGGCCUCCAUCAUAGUUAAUGAAGCGACUCGAAGUAUGACCUCUAAUUUGCUCCUUUUUUUUUCUGGUCACAUAGUCCCUGUUCAGAGGCAAACUAUAUACAGCACAGACCUGUGAACUGGAUCAUAACCACAAGUGUAUGAAUAAAUGGAUGCCACUUUUUCGUAUGUACUGGAAAAUCAGUAAAAUUGCACGUAGUCAAGGCUUGAGUCACAUUAGCUGGCGCACUAGCAGUUGAAUAGUAGGGAUUAUGACUUG